GAGGGUUUUGGUUGGCAUUCGUAAGCUGCUUGCUGGAACUUCAAUCCCAACCUCCCAAUCAUCUUACAGACCUCUACACUUUAGCCGUCGAUGGCCGAGAUUCUAGAGCCCAGGAUUUGAGGCGCCUCGCCUCAUUGAUUCCAUUGCAACCCAUUUACAGACAUUCAGGGGAUUUGACAUUCGAUAAAAUUCGAGAUACAUCUUUGCAAGCAGUCUGCUGCUUCUAUGGCACGAGUGACUCUACGAUAGGUACGCACCUCCAAUCAUUCAAAGGCUGGUGGACCAAUUCCCUUCUUUAAAAGCAUUUCAUUUUGUCAUUGAAGACAAUGAUGAGGAUUUAUCUGAUGAUUUCACAAUGACAGUGUUGAACAUUUCAAGUCUGCCAAUGUUUCAUUUCUAUCAAAAUGGGGAAAAGGUAGAGGAGCUAGCUGGUGAUUUUAUCAGGCGCUUCAAGACAGUUCUUGAAACACUUUACAAGUAAUGAAAUUCUUGGUUACUUUACAUUUGCGUCCUAUUUUUAGUUGGUACCCUUGCAGGCAUCGACUCUUAUCCAAACUUUUGGAUGCUAACUGAUGUGGCACGUAAAAAUGGCGGCUUGUUAUAAAUGAAAUGUUGUCGCAUCAUUUAAGAGUCCAAAAGUUGUAUAGUUAGGAACAUAAUUAUAUGUACUCAUUUUUUUUCCAAAGGUUGUAUGGUUAAUUUCCUAUGUACUUUUUUUUAAUUUUUUUUUUUGUUCUUUAAAUUCCUUCUUAUAUAUGGACUAAUUGUAUAAGGGUCUAGGACCCCU